UUGGAAUGAUAGAAAUUUAAACACUUUUUAAAGUAUCAAUUGGAGGGCAAGUCUGGUGCCAGCAGCCGCGGUAAUUCCAGCUCCAAUAGCGUAUAUUAAAAUUGUUGCAGUUAAAAAGCUCGUAGUUGAAUUUCUGCUAAAAAUAACCGGUCUGCUUUUAAUAAAGGUGGUAUCUUGGUGUGUUUUUAGCAAUAAUGUCCUUUGAAAUGUUUUUUACUUCAUUGUAAUAAAUUAUAUUUAGGAUUUUUACUUUGAGAAAAUUAGAGUGUUUCUAGCAGGCUAAUGCUUUGAAUACUGCAGCAUGGAAUAAUAAAAUAGGAUUUUGGUUCUACAUUAUUGGUUUUAAGAGCUAAAUUAAUGAUUGAUAGGGACAGUUGGGGGCAUUUGUAUUUAACUGUCAGAGGUGAAAUUCUUAGAUUUGUUAAAGACAAACUACUGCGAAAGCAUUUGCCAAAGAUGUUUUCAUUAAUCAAGAACGAAAGUUAGGGGAUCGAAGACGAUCAGAUACCGUCGUAGUCUUAACC
rnacentral:rRNA from 1 species